UACGGAGGAUCCGAGCGUUAUCCGGAUUUAUUGGGUUUAAAGGGUGCGUAGGCGGCCUGUUAAGUCAGGGUGAAAGACGGUAGCUCAACUAUCGCAGUGCCUUGAUACUGAUGGCUGAAUGUACUAGAGUAGCGGAUGUGACAAGUAGCGUGAAUGCAUAGAUAUGAUCACAGAACACAUGCGAGCAGCUACUAUGUAUGAUUUUUUGACGCUGAGCACGAAAAAGCGUGGGGGGAUCAAAAAACAGUUUUUUAGAUACCCCC
rnacentral:rRNA from 1 species